rnacentral:rRNA from 1 species
AGUGAGUGGCGGACGGGUGAGUAACACGUGGGUAACCUGCCCAGAAGCAGGGGAUAACACCUGGAAACAGAUGCUAAUACCGUAUAACAGAGAAAACCGCCUGGUUUUCUUUUAAAAGAUGGCUCUGCUAUCACUUCUGGAUGGACCCGCGGCGCAUUAGCUAGUUGGUGAGGUAACGGCUCACCAAGGCGAUGAUGCGUAGCCGACCUGAGAGGGUAAUCGGCCACAUUGGGACUGAGACACGGCCCAGACUCCUACGGGAGGCAGCAGUAGGGAAUCUUCCACAAUGGACGCAAGUCUGAUGGAGCAACGCCGCGUGAGUGAAGAAGGGUUUCGGCUCGUAAAGCUCUGUUGUUAAAGAAGAACGUGGGUGAGAGUAACUGUUCACCCAGUGACGGUAUUUAACCAGAAAGCCACGGCUAACUACGUGCCAGCAGCCGCGGUAAUACGUAGGUGGCAAGCGUUAUCCGGAUUUAUUGGGCGUAAAGCGAGCGCAGGCGGUCUUUUAAGUCUAAUGUGAAAGCCUUCGGCUCAACCGAAGAAGUGCAUUGGAAACUGGGAGACUUGAGUGCAGAAGAGGACAGUGGAACUCCAUGUGUAGCGGUGAAAUGCGUAGAUAUAUGGAAGAACACCAGUGGCGAAGGCGGCUGUCUGGUCUGUAACUGACGCUGAGGCUCGAAAGCAUGGGUAGCGAACAGGAUUAGAUACCCUGGUAGUCCAUGCCGUAAACGAUGAUUACUAAGUGUUGGAGGGUUUCCGCCCUUCAGUGCUGCAGCUAACGCAUUAAGUAAUCCGCCUGGGGAGUACGACCGCAAGGUUGAAACUCAAAAGAAUUGACGGGGGCCCGCACAAGCGGUGGAGCAUGUGGUUUAAUUCGAAGCUACGCGAAGAACCUUACCAGGUCUUGACAUCUUCUGCCAACCUAAGAGAUUAGGCGUUCCCUUCGGGGACAGAAUGACAGGUGGUGCAUGGUUGUCGUCAGCUCGUGUCGUGAGAUGUUGGGUUAAGUCCCGCAACGAGCGCAACCCUUAUUACUAGUUGCCAGCAUUCAGUUGGGCACUCUAGUGAGACUGCCGGUGACAAACCGGAGGAAGGUGGGGACGACGUCAAAUCAUCAUGCCCCUUAUGACCUGGGCUACACACGUGCUACAAUGGAUGGUACAACGAGUCGCGAAACCGCGAGGUUUAGCUAAUCUCUUAAAACCAUUCUCAGUUCGGACUGUAGGCUGCAACUCGCCUACACGAAGUCGGAAUCGCUAGUAAUCGCGGAUCAGCAUGCCGCGGUGAAUACGUUCCCGGGCCUUGUACACACCGCCCGUCACACCAUGAGAGUUUGUAACACCCAAAGCCGGUGGGGUAACCUUUUAGGAGCUA